UCUUCCGUAGUAUAGUGGUCAGUAUGUGAGCUUGUCAUUGCGACUUUCGCUCGAGACCCGGGUUCAAUUCCCGGCGGGAGAG